rnacentral:rRNA from 1 species
UACGUAGGGUGCAGGCGUUAAUCGGAAUUACUGGGCGUAAAGCGUGCGCAGGCGGUCUAUUAAGACAGGUGUGAAAUCCCCGGGCUUAACCUGGGAACUGCAUUGGUGACUGCAUUGCUGGAGUAUGGCAGAGGGGGGUGGAAUUCCACGUGUAGCAGUGAAAUGCGUAGAGAUGUGGAGGAACACCGAUGGCGAAGGCAGCCCCCUGGGCCAAUACUGACGCUCAUGCACGGAAGCGUGGGGAGCAAACAGG